rnacentral:rRNA from 1 species
GAUGAACGCUGGCGGCGUGCCUAAUACAUGCAAGUCGAGCGAGCAGACGAGGAGCUUGCUCCUCUGACGUUAGCGGCGGACGGGUGAGUAACACGUGGAUAACCUACCUAUAAGACUGGGAUAACUUCGGGAAACCGGAGCUAAUACCGGAUAAUAUAUUGAACCGCAUGGUUCAAUAGUGAAAGACGGUUUUGCUGUCACUUAUAGAUGGAUCCGCGCCGCAUUAGCUAGUUGGUAAGGUAACGGCUUACCAAGGCAACGAUGCGUAGCCGACCUGAGAGGGUGAUCGGCCACACUGGAACUGAGACACGGUCCAGACUCCUACGGGAGGCAGCAGUAGGGAAUCUUCCGCAAUGGGCGAAAGCUUGACGGAGCAACGCCGCGUGAGUGAUGAAGGUCUUCGGAUCGUAAAACUCUGUUAUUAGGGAAGAACAAAUGUGUAAGUAACUAUGCACGUCUUGACGGUACCUAAUCAGAAAGCCACGGCUAACUACGUG